rnacentral:rRNA from 1 species
GACGAACGCUGGCGGCGUGCUUAACACAUGCAAGUCGAACGGAAAGGCCCUGCUUUUGUGGGGUGCUCGAGUGGCGAACGGGUGAGUAACACGUGAGUAACCUGCCCUUGACUUUGGGAUAACUUCAGGAAACUGGGGCUAAUACCGGAUAGCAGCUCAUGCUGCAUGGUGGGGGUUGGAAAGUUUCGGCGGUUGCGGAUGGACUCGCGGCUUAUCAGCUUGUUGGUGGGGUAGUGGCUUACCAACGCGUUGACGGGUAGCCGGCCUGGGAGGGUGACCGGCCACAUUGGGACUGAGAUACGGCCCAGAGUCCUACGUGAGGCAGCAGUGGGGAAUAUUGCACAAUGGGCGGAAGCCUGAUGCAGCAACGCCGCGUGCGGGAUGACGGCCUUCGGGGUAUAAACCGCUUUCGCCUGUGACGAAGCGUGAGUGACGGUAAUGGGUAAAGAAGCACCGGCUAACUACGUG